UACGAAGGGGGCUAGCGUUGUUCGGAUUUACUGGGCGUAAAGCGCACGUAGGCGGAUCGAUCAGUCAGGGGUGAAAUCCCAGAGCUCAACUCUGGAACUGCCUUUGAUACUGUCGAUCUGGAGUAUGGAAGAGGUGAGUGGAAUUCCGAGUGUAGAGGUGAAAUUCGUAGAUAUUCGGAGGAACACCAGUGGCGAAGGCGGCUCACUAGUCCAUUACUGACGCUGAGGUGCGAAAGCGUGGGGAGCAAACAGG
rnacentral:rRNA from 1 species